rnacentral:rRNA from 1 species
GUCUAUGGCCAUACAAUCCUUAACACACCCAAUGUCAUCUGAUCUUGGAAGCUAAGCAGGGUUGGGCCUGGUUAGUACUUGAAUGGAGACAUUUACC